UGACGCGAGAGCGUGUCAGCGUU
rnacentral:misc_RNA from 1 species